ensembl:lncRNA
CACUUUUGUUAUCAGAUUCUGAGGAAUCUGAGGGACAUUUUAAUUUCGUCACUAUUGUUUCCUGAUCACAGAUGGGUGCAUAACUGAAAAUUUAUAGUUCAAAUAGGGUGACGAACACCCCAUUUUUGGUGUGUGCAUGGGAGCCUGAGUACCGGCCACUGCAGAAGGACUAUGGAUCAGAGGGGCCCACGUGCCCGUGGUGAAAUGAGCGCAGGUGUGCAGGAAGCUGUAAGGCAGCGAGUGUAAAGGAGGAGCUGCUUCUUGGAAGGAUCAGGGGAGUCUCAGACGGCUGCCUGAGAGGCCAUCUGUGCCAGCAACUGGAGUAUGGCUGCAGGCUUCAGGUCUCAAAUCAUCAGGUGCCAGCAAAAGGGGAGUCUGUGAUUCAGGCAUGGAUUGAGUAUCUGUAUUUGUAUAUGUAUGUAGGUUGCUCCAAAAGUAAUGCCCCCUAUUUCUUUCCAUGGAAACUCCCAACAGAUACAAAGGGCACAAUAACACUAUUGGAUAGAGCAAAUUCUCAGCUACAAAACUGUUUUUCAACGUAGUCACCACCAUUAGCUAUGCAUUUUCACCUGUGAUGAACAAGAGCCUUCAUGCUGUGCUUGUAAAAAUCUGUACCAGUGGAGGUGAUCCACUGUCACCACUGUUGAAAUGUACCACCCACUGUGCUCACAUCCACUGUUUAGUUUCCAUAAAUACUCAACAAGGGUUGAUGAAUGUCAACAGGUGCAUUUUUUUCCUCAUAGAGGAAUUCAGCUCCUUCACAUACACUUCCAUGUCAGACACCGUGUUGUCAGACUGACCUCCUGCUGCUAUCUGUCACAUGGAAACAAAAUGUAAAGGAAUCUUGGCAGGAAGGUUCAACCUACUGCCAUACCAUCAACAUCCACCUCUGACAUCAUGGGCCAACAUAAUAAAAUAGGAGGCAUUAAUUUCAGAGCAGCCCUCACAUUUCCCACUAGUAGACAUCCAUGCUACUCAGUUUCAGGGGGGAAAGGUGGUUGUUGGGUUAGGGUGCUGUUUGUGCUCAUGUAAAUGCUCUGUGUCUGUGUGGUGGUCACAUAUAUAGGUAUUUAUGUGGUAAAUAUAUCUCUUCAUGUACAUGUCACUACUGGAAAUGCAGGCCUGGUUACAUUUGGGAUCGAGGAGCUACGGAGCUUUGCUACUACCAGGCUGCCAGAUCUAGCCCUAGCUCCCAAGCACUGACUAAUCUUGGCUCACAUUUAUUUUUCUUGUCCCUAGAUUAUUUUCCACUUAAGUGCAAGCAUAGCAAACUCCACCUUGAAUCUGAUUACAUAAAUGUCUCAGUCUCUGGCAUUAGCUCUGAAUAUAUUCAAUUACUGGUUAAUCUGUGAAGUUGCUAUAUUUGAAGAGAGUCUAAGCAUUUCCAAAUUUCAGAGGAAAUCUCUGGGCAGAAAAAAAAAAUCUGUUCAAAUUGCAUCACUCCUACUUUCUUCUUGGACCAUAUGACUCAGCUGCAAGUACUGGG